UCCGAGUUGACCCCGGCAGUCUCCUGCGAGUCCCCGCCAUUACGCGCUGGCAACACAGGACAAGGGUUGCGCUCGUUGCGGGACUUAACCCAACAUCUCACGACACGAGCUGACGACAGCCAUGCACCACCUGUCACCCACCAACUAAAUGACCCCACAUCUCUGCAGGUCCACGGGUGAUGUCAAACCUUGGUAAGGUUCUUCGCGUUGCGUCGAAUUAAACCACAUGCUCCACCGCUUGUGCGGGCCCCCGUCAAUUCAUUUGAGUUUUAACCUUGCGGCCGUACUCCCCAGGCGGUCUACUUAUUGCGUUAACUGCGUCACAAAUCCCUCAAGGAGACCUACGACUAGUAGACAUCGUUUACGGCGUGGACUAC
rnacentral:misc_RNA from 1 species